rnacentral:rRNA from 1 species
AUUGAACGCUGGCGGCAGGCCUAACACAUGCAAGUCGAACGAGUGGCGGACGGGUGAGUAAUGUCUGGGAAACUGCCCGAUGGAGGGGGAUAACUACUGGAAACGUUAGCUAAUACCGCAUACCAUCGGAUGUGCCCCGAUGGGGUUAGCUAGUAGGUGGGGUAAAGGCUCACCUAGGCGACGAUCCCCAGCUGGUCUGAGAGGAUGACCAGCCAAACUGGAACGGAGAAACGGUCCAGCCUCCUACGGGAGGCAGCAGUGGGGAAUAUUGCACAAUGGGAGCAAGCCUGAUGCAGCCAUGCCGCGUGUAUGAAGAAGGCCUUCGGGUUGUAAAGUACUUUCAGCGAGGAGGCGUUACUCGCAGAAGAAGCACCGGCUAACUCCGUGCCAGCAGCCGCGGUAAUAC